UUAGAAAGUUGAGUUCCCUCCUCCUAAAGCAUAUAGAGAGUUCUAAGGGAAGUGUGUGAGGGAAUUUCUAUUUGUGCAAUUUACCUUACUGCAAACUUCCUCACUUCCUUUACUUUCUUAUUACACGCUUACAAAAGUGUUUUUAAGUUAAUAUCUUUUCGAUCAGUUUUCAACGAACAAAUAUUUUCCAAAAUCAAUGACUUUUAUCCGCUG
rnacentral:lncRNA from 1 species